CCCAGCCCCAGCUGCCCCAGCACCUCCGCAGGCUAAAGGAGACCUCUACUGGGCGCCCCAGAGUCAGAGCCCGGCACAGGAACACAAGUGUGAGAGGUGUUUCCAGGACGGGUGGCCGCUUGCAAUUGGAGCAGUGGAGAACCAGAAAGACGAAGAUGCCCUCAGGGAUGGCUGAAGUGCACCCAUUAGGUUGUCACGGGUUCCCUCCUGUGGCCACAGCCGGCACAGCACUCUGCGGCACAGUUUGUGGGUGGAGAUUCUGAGUUCUCGACCAAGACCCACAUAGCCUCCAACUCCAACCGCAAAUGGGGCUCUCAAAAGACUGAAUAAUGCACUCUUCACAGACCAGACUUAAGCUUUGUCCCUGUGAAAUAUGCCUUUGAUGUUUAUCCGUAGCUCCUUGUAAACUUCAGAAGCAACCAGCAUCCCCUGAUGUCACGUUAAAAAGCAAGUUCCUAGUUUCCCCACCCAAAGAUUCUGACCCAGUAGCUGUGAGCAGGGCCAGGGAAACUACAUUUCUCACCAGCUUCCAGAGGAUGGUUGUGUUCCCGGUCUCAGAACCAUACUUUGAGUGGUGCAGGUUCAGAAUACUUCCUGGGAAGUGCAUACAGACCAAACCACAUAUGAGAAGUAACUCAGCUUGAGGGGCAUGGAGGUCAGGGGAUGAGAAUGGCUUUUGUGGGGCACACAGGAUGGGGGACAGGCUUAGACAGCAUGCCUGGUGAUAAAGAAUAAGAGUUUGUUUCUAGACCCUGUUUGCAAAGAAAAAGCAACUCAAUGUGACAAUUCCAGGAAAGCAGCCAGAUGUGCCAAAAACAUCACCCAAGGAGUCUGUAUCCUUUCUCUGAUGGCGUUGAGUUCACUGGAACUGCAGCUGAAGCGUAACUAAUGUGGUUUCUUAGCUGGAGAGUGAUGGUGCACGUAGGGGUAGGAAGGGG
rnacentral:lncRNA from 10 species